GGCCCGUUAGUUCAGUUGGUUAGAGCGUCGUGCUAAUAACGCGAAGGUCGUGGGUUCGAUCCCCCCACGGGCCA
rnacentral:tRNA from 1 species